UACGUAGGGUGCGAGCGUUAAUCGGAAUUACUGGGCGUAAAGCGUGCGCAGGCGGUUUUGUAAGACAGAUGUGAAAUCCCCGGGCUCAACCUGGGAACUGCGUUUGUGACUGUAUGACUAGAGUACGGUAGAGAGGGGUGGAAUUCCUGGUGUAGCAGUGAAAUGCGUAGAUAUCAGGAGGAACAUCGAUGGCGAAGGCAGCCCCUUGGACCUGUACUGACGCUCAUGCACGAAAGCGUGGGGAGCAAACAGG
rnacentral:rRNA from 1 species